rnacentral:rRNA from 1 species
GACGAACGCUGGCGGCGUGCUUAACACAUGCAAGUCGAACGAAGUGGCGAACGGGUGAGUAACGCGUAAUCAACCUGCCCUUCAGAGGGGGACAACAGUUGGAAACGACUGCUACUACCGCAUACUGAAGGAGGGGAUUGCGUCUGAUUAGCUAGUUGGAGUGUUAACGGCCCACCAAGGCGAUGAUCAGUAGGCGGUCUGAGGGGAUGAAGGGCCACAUUGGGGCUGGGACACGGCCCAGACUCCUACGGGAGGCAGCAGUGGGGAAUCUUCCGCAAUGGACGAAAGUCUGACGGGGCAACGCCGCGUGAGUGAAGAAGGUUUUCGGAGCGUAAAACUCUGUUGUUAGAGAAGCGGUAUCUAACCAGAAAGCCACGGCUAACUACGUGCCAGCCGCCGCGGUAAUAC